rnacentral:rRNA from 1 species
AUGAACGCUGGCGGCGUGCCUAAUACAUGCAAGUCGAGCGAACGGACGAGAAGCUUGCUUCUCUGAUGUUAGCGGCGGACGGGUGAGUAACACGUGGAUAACCUACCUAUAAGACUGGGAUAACUUCGGGAAACCGGAGCUAAUACCGGAUGAUAUUUUGAACCGCAUGGUUCAAAAGUGAAAGACGGUCUUGCUGUCACUUAUAGAUGGAUCCGCGCUGCAUUAGCUAGUUGGUAAGGUAAUGGCUUACCAAGGCAACGAUGCAUAGCCGACCUGAGAGGGGGAUCGGCCACACUGGAACUGAGACACGGUCCAGACUCCUACGGGAGGCAGCAGUAGGGAAUCUUCCGCAAUGGGCGAAAGCCUGACGGAGCAACGCCGCGUGAGUGAUGAAGGUCUUCGGAUCGUAAAACUCUGUUAUUAGGGAAGAACAUAUGUGUAAGUAACUGUGCACAUCUUGACGGUACCUAAUCAGAAAGCCACGGCUAACUACGUG